GCGGGGAUGGCGGAAUUGGUAGACGCGCCAGACUUAGGAUCUGGUGGGGUAACCCAUGGGGGUUCGAGUCCCUUUCCCCGCA
rnacentral:tRNA from 1 species